CCGAGUGAGGGCCCUCUGGGUCCAACCUCCCACCCGUGUUUAUUAUACCUUGUUGCUUCGGCGGGCCCGCCUCACGGCCGCCGGGGGGCACCUGCCCCCGGGCCCGCGCCCGCCGAAGACACCAUUGAACUCUGUCUGAAGAUUGCAGUCUGAGCAGAUUAGCUAAAUCAGUUA
rnacentral:misc_RNA from 2 species